CUAAGGCCUUACUGGAAGAUUUGUCUAUUAAAAAACAAAUUACAGUAAUGCUGUACCUUGUCACCAAGGGUACAAGCCACAGCAUAUAGCAAUGUAUUUUUCUUAAGAAGUGUUAUACGCAGACAGGAAACACAUUCAACAGCUUGUGAAGAUAUACCACAAUGUUUGCAAAUAUGCAUUCUUACAACAGACUAUGAGUCUGUAAGAUAUAUGUGAUAAUCCAAUGUAGGAAUGCAGUGUAAGGCUAGGAGAUUAUACAGGGCAAUCAACUGUGUCACCUCAUGUGUCAAUCACCAAUUAUUAUUCUGAAACCAUUUUGUUGGUUGUCAUAUAAACAAAAUAGCUUCUGUCGUAUUUAUGUUUGCAUUCAGGAAGAG